rnacentral:tRNA from 1 species
UCCUGAUUAGCUCAGUCGGUAGAGCGCAUGACUGUUAAUCAUGAUGUCGCUGGUUCGAGCCCGGCAUCAGGAG